CUAAUUUUAAUCUUGUUUUGGCUAUAAAUUGCCAAAGUUUGGCAAUUGAAAUAAGAACAUAGAUACUGCAACAUCUCUCAAUUUUCUCUUUAUCUCACUCUCUCCUUCUUAUUUUGCUAAGUUUAAUUUAUUUUAUAACAGAUAUUAAAUUUUAUAUAUCACAUACUCAUAUUAUUAAUAUUUUCUAAUUCUUCGAAAGCGAAGAUAAAUGAUCCUAAUACAUAAAAUUGGAUUUUAAAGUAUUAUUUCAUUCAUUAAGUAUAAGAUAGUUUAUAAUUCAUAUGUAUCUAUCAUUAAAAAUACACAUUGAAGGCAAAACAAAACAGGACCAAGAGGGAACUCCUGAGGAGACACUAUCCAAUAAACAAAAGCAAAAAGUUAUUCCUGUUAUUCAUGGUUUUCAAGUGAAUUUGAGAGCUUUGGUGAAGAUAGUCCAGUGAAUAAUUCUAAUUGUGCCUUAAUGGAUAAUAACAUUGAUACUUGCAAGAUGUUGGAAAAUGAGAAGUUCAAAGAACGCAAGAAAAGUAACAUAAAAAAGCAUCAAAAGGAUUCUUUCGAGGAGGAACCACCUGACCAACAACAAGAAGAAGAUAUCUAUGGUACUUAAGGAAUUUUACAUCUUACAAAUUAAACUUAUGUUAAUUAUUUAAACUUUUUUCAGUUCAAAAGUUGAGAUAAUCCUAAAUUUUAAAGCAAUGAGUGCAUGGUGAUUGAAACUCUUGACCCACAUGGCACACAACAUACCUAAAAUGCAGUCAUUAGAUUGAAGCUCUAGUCCCACUUUUUGAACUUAUAAUUUGUUUCAAGUAUACCAUGCAAUCUUACAUAUAAUUUUCACGUGAGUCGGAGCUCAACAAAAUUACAUGUGAAGAUAGUUUAUUGGAUAGUUCUGAUCAUAUUUUAAAUGACAAUAUUGUCAAUUAUGACUUGAAACUUUUGACAAUAGUUGAAAAGUAUGAAAAUUAUCGUAUCAUACAAGAA